UACGGGGGGGGCAAGCGUUGUUCGGAAUUACUGGGCGUAAAGGGCUCGUAGGCGGCCAUCUAAGUCAUACGUGAAAUCCCUCGGCUUAACCGGGGAACUGCGUCUGAUACUGGACGACUUGAGUUUGGGAGAGGGAUGCGGAAUUCCAGGUGUAGCGGUGAAAUGCGUAGAUAUCUGGAGGAACACCGGUGGCGAAGGCGGCAUCCUGGACCAACACUGACGCUGAGGAGCGAAAGCCAGGGGAGCAAACGGG
rnacentral:rRNA from 1 species